CCCCUAGAUGUUCUGGGCCGCACGCGCGCUACACUGAACAGUUCAACAAGUCUUAACCUUGGCCGAUAGGUCUGGGUAAUCUUUGAACGCUGUUCGUGAUUGGGAUAGACCUUUGCAAUUAUGGGUCUUCAACGAGGAAUUCCUAGUAAACGCAAGUCAUCAGCUUGCAUUGAUUACGUCCCUGCCCUUUGUACACACCGCCCGUCGCACCUACCGAUUGAAUGGUCCGGUGAAAUCUCGGGACGGCGGCUUGGUCGCUUGCGUCCGACUGCUGAAACUUGAUUAAACCAUAUCAUUUAGCGGAAGGUGAAGUCGUAACA
rnacentral:rRNA from 1 species